rnacentral:rRNA from 1 species
GACGAACGCUGGCGGCGUGCUUAACACAUGCAAGUCGAGCGGAAAGGCCACUUCGGUGGUACUCGAGCGGCGAACGGGUGAGUAACACGUGAGUAAUCUGCCCUUCACUUCGGGAUAGCUUCCGGAAACGGAGAUUAAUACCGGAUAUGACGACUCCAGGCAUCUGGUGGUUGUGGACAGUUUUUUCGGUGGGGGAUGUGCUCGCGGCCUAUCAGCUGGUUGGUAGGGUAAUGGCAUACCAAGGCUUCGACGGGUGGCCGGCCUGAGCGGGUGACCGGCCACACUGGGACUGAGACACGGCCCAGACUCCUACGGGAGGCAGCAGUGGGGAAUAUUGGACAAUGGGCGGAAGCCUGAUCCAGCAACGCCGCGUGAGGGAUGACGGCCUUCGGGUUGUAAACCUCUUUCGGUAGGGACGAAGCGCAAGUGACGGUACCUACAAAAGAAGGACCGGCCAACUACGUGCCAGCCGCCGCCGUAAGAC